ensembl:lncRNA
UCUCUCUCUCUCUCUCUCCGUCUCCGUCUCCGUCUCCGUCUCCGGUAAUAUCUCUGUGGCCGUCUGACGCAGUUCAGACAUUUUGGGUAGAUUAUUCAACCACACCGGGCCGAAGACUAACAAGAAACUGAACAAAAGCCGUUUUUUACAACCACAACAACAAACAUCGUUCAAUAUGGGUCCACCAGGAGACAACCCACGUCGCGUGUCCUCUGAAAGAACGGAGGAUUUCAGUUGGUUUGUCCAUUUAUCUUGACAUGGCAUGCAAAGGGUUAGUUUUGGUGGUUGUGACGACUGAAGAGAAAACGCAGAUAAAUAGCUAACACCUCCCCACAAAAAUCAGCGUGUGAAAGAUAUUUAUGACUGCGUUUAUUGGUGUCGGGUAAAUAAAAUCAAGUUGGUUCUCUCGACGGGAAUCCUUAACAUCAUGAUGAUAUUGGAAGGAAAUGUUCAUGUAAAAUGACAGGAUACAACCGUUAAAUCUGUUCCGAUAUUAAAUAGCAAACCAGUUGGAAAUGUAAAAUGGUUAGAUGUCUCUCAGCUGGCUGGCUAACCGCACCACAUACAUGCCUCAAUUACUCCAAGUAACAAACAUAUGUAGCUAACUAGUUAAUCCACUAACUAGUUAGUGUAUGCAGACUAGAUAGCUCAUGUUAGCUAGUCAGCCCCCCAAAAAAUGCUGUCAUGAUGAGUAAAGACAAAGGCAGUAAACAAGGCCCCGGGCCAGUUCAAUGGCAGUAAACAAGGCCCCGGGCCAGUUCAAUGGAAGUAAACAAGGCCCCGGGCCAGUUCAAUGGCAGUAAACAAGGCCCCGGGCCAGUUCAAUGGCAGUAAACAAGGCCCCGGGCCAGUUCAAUGGCAGUAAACAAGGCCCCGGGCCAGUUCAAUGGAAGUAAACGAGGCCCCGGGCCAGUUCAAUGGCAGUAAACGAGGCCC